CAUCCUUAAGAGGUGCUGAAAAAGCUAUUACAUUCUUUUCAAGCAAUAUAUUGGACUUGACCUGCUGCUCUGGAUUUGAUGUGAUGCCCUCAGGAUCAAAAUGAUAUUCUUUUGAUUGAGUUUCUGUUUUGGAAGGAGUCCACUCAAGCAUUGAGGGUAGAUGGUUGUCAGUUCCACCUAGAGGAAAAUCAAAUCCAGAAGUAGGACCGAUUUGUGACCUUAAGGCUACUUCAUGAUGGCUUGAGGACUCGACAUUCUUCAGAGAUAAAAUACCUGCUCUAUUUUGAGAAUAUUUGAACAUUGGAAAAUGCUGGCCUUUGCAUGUUUCAUGCUUCAAUUUUUUCGAACUUGUUGCUGUGCUUUCAUUCAUAAAGGCCUUAUGCAUUUCUCUAAAUUCUUUCACAAACUUAGAGCUGUCUCUUUCUAUCUCUAGCCCACCAAGUGAAGGA
rnacentral:misc_RNA from 1 species